rnacentral:rRNA from 1 species
AAUAUUGGACAAUGGGGGAAACCCUGACCCAGCCAUGCCGCGUGUGUUAAGAAUGUCUUCGGUUUGUAAAGCACUUUAAGUUGGGAGGAAGGGUUGCUGGCUCAUAUCCAGCAAUUUUGACGUUACCGACAGAAUACGCCUCGCCUAACCCUCUGCCUGCAGCCGCGGUAAUACAGAUGGUCCAAGCGUUAAUCGGAAUUACUGGGCGUAAAGCGCGGGUAGGUGGUUCAGUAAGAUGGGUGUGAAGUCCCCGGGCUUAACCUGGGAACUGCUUUCAUAACUGCUGAGCUAGAGUACGGUAGAGGGUAGUGGAAUUUCCUGUGUAGCGGUGAAAUGCGUAGAUAUAGGAAGGAACACCAGUGGCGAAGGCGACUACCUGGACUGAUACUGACACUGAGGUGCGAAAGCGUGGGGAGCAAAC